CAUGUAGGAAUUUAAAAGUUGAACAAACUUCUUUUUUUAACUUCUUCACUAAAAAAGGAUCCUAAUCCAACAUCGAGGUCGCAAACUAUUUUAUCUAUAUGAACUAUCCAAAAUUAUUACGCUGUUAUCCCUAGAGUAUUUUUCUCAUUUAAUCGUUAAUAACGGAACAAAUUAAUUUCUUUAAUACAAAAAGAUAUAUAUUCUUUUUUAAUCACCCCAACCAAAUUAGAUUUCAAAUAAUUCUCAUCACAAUCUAAUAAAAAUUCAUAGGGUCUUCUUGUCCCUAAUUUAAAUUUUUGCUUCUUCACAAAAAAAUUAAAUUCAAUUUAUUAAUUAAAGAAAGUUAUUAAUCGUUAAACCAUUCUCUUAGCACCCAUUUAAAGCCUUAUUUCAAUACCUUCGUAUAGUCAAAAUACCACAGCAAUUUAAAUAAUCAUUGAGCAGAUUUUACAUUUUAUUACCUCAAAAAUGAAAUGUUUUUGU
rnacentral:rRNA from 1 species